UACGAAGGGUGCAAGCGUUACUCGGAAUUACUGGGCGUAAAGCGUGCGUAGGCGGUUCGUUAAGUCUGUCGUGAAAGCCCUGGGCUCAACCUGGGAAUGGCGAUGGAUACUGGCGGGCUAGAGUGUGAUAGAGGAUGGCGGAAUUCCCGGUGUAGCGGUGAAAUGCGUAGAGAUCGGGAGGAACAUCCGUGGCGAAGGCGGCCAUCUGGAUCAACACUGACGCUGAGGCACGAAAGCGUGGGGAGCAAACAGG
rnacentral:rRNA from 1 species